rnacentral:rRNA from 1 species
GACGAACGCUGGCGGCGUGCUUAACACAUGCAAGUCGAACGGAAAGGCCCUGCUUUUGUGGGGUGCUCGAGUGGCGAACGGGUGAGUAACACGUGAGUAACCUGCCCUUGACUUUGGGAUAACUUCAGGAAACUGGGGCUAAUACCGGAUAGGAGCUCCUGCUGCAUGGUGGGGGUUGGAAAGUUUCGGCGGUUGGGGAUGGACUCGCGGCUUAUCAGCUUGUUGGUGGGGUAGUGGCUUACCAAGGCUUUGACGGGUAGCCGGCCUGAGAGGGUGACCGGCCACAUUGGGACUGAGAUACGGCCCAGACUCCUACGGGAGGCAGCAGGGGGGAAUAUUGCACAAUGGGCGGAAGCCUGAUGCAGAAACGCCGCGUGCGGGAUGACGGCCUUCGGGUUGUAAACCGCUUUCGCCUGUGACGAAGAGUGAGUGACGGUAAUGGGUAAAGAAGCACCGGCUAACUACGUG